rnacentral:rRNA from 1 species
CAGCAGCCGCGGUAAUACGUAAGUGGCAAGCGUUGUCCGGAAUUAUUGGGCGUAAAGCGCGCGCAGGCGGCCUCUUAAGUCUGAUGUGAAAGCCCCCGGCUCAACCGGGGAGGGCCAUUGGAAACUGGGAGGCUUGAGUAUAGGAGAGAAGAGUGGAAUUCCACGUGUAGCGGUGAAAUGCGUAGAGAUGUGGAGGAACACCAGUGGCGAAGGCGACUCUUUGGCCUAUAACUGACGCUGAGGCGCGAAAGCGUGGGGAGCAAACAGGAUUAGAUACCCGAGUAGUCCCUGUCUCUUAUAA